rnacentral:rRNA from 1 species
ACAUGCAAGUCGAACGGCAGCACGAGAGAGCUUGCUCUCUUGGUGGCGAGUGGCGGACGGGUGAGGAAUACAUCGGAAUCUACCUUGUCGUGGGGGAUAACGUAGGGAAACUUACGCUAAUACCGCAUACGACCUACGGGUGAAAGCGGAGGACCUUCGGGCUUCGCGCGACUAGAUGAGCCGAUGUCGGAUUAGCUUGUUGGCGGGGUAAAAGCCCACCAAGGCGACGAUCCGUAGCUGGUCUGAGAGGAUGAUCAGCCACACUGGAACUGAGACACGGUCCAGACUCCUACGGGAGGCAGCAGUGGGGAAUAUUGGACAAUGGGCGCAAGCCUGAUCCAGCCAUACCGCGUGGGUGAAGAAGGCCUUCGGGUUGUAAAGCCCUUUUGUUGGGGAAGAAAAGCAGCUGGCUAAUACCCGGCUGUCCUGACGGUACCCAAAGAAUAAGCACCGGCUAACUUCGUGCCAGCAGCCGCGGUAAUACGAAGGGUGCAAGCGUUACUCGGAAUUACUGGGCGUAAAGCGUGCGUAGGUGGUUUGUUAAGUCUGAUGUGAAAGCCCUGGGCUCAACCUGGGAAUUGCACUGGAUACUGGCAGGCUAGAGUGCGGUAGAGGAUGGCGGAAUUCCCGGUGUAGCAGUGAAAUGCGUAGAGAUCGGGAGGAACAUCCGUGGCGAAGCGGCCAUCUGGACCAGCACUGACACUGAGGCACGAAAGCGUGNGGAGCAAACAGGAUUAGAUACCCUGGUAGUCCA